AUAUUUCUGCUGAUAAAAAUACCGCAUGUGCUUCACAUGAUUUUUAUAUUUAAAAGCUUUGUGUUUUUCUUUCUAGGGAACAGGAUUCUCUGGUUAAGACCUGAAAACACAGAGUGUGUUCCCAAGUUACAUGCAAGUUUUGCUGCAUACCUUCAUUAUGAUCAGCACUGGCACUUGAGUGAUGCGCUGCUGAGAAACCGAUUUGCUCUUCCAAGCAGGACUUUGAGGCUCCAGCCUUCAUGUAUCAGAGACCAGGAUGCGAAUCAUCCUUCAGGGCAUCAUAAAGGUUCCACCAAAGAAUGAAUAUACUUAUCUUCCUGAAACAGGUCUGGCAGAAAAAGAAACAUUUCUGUUUUUAAUCUGUAAUUCACAUAUAUUUUUCCUGAGCAUCGUAUGCUCUUCUGGGAAAAUUGUCAAUU
rnacentral:lncRNA from 1 species